UACGUAGGGCGCGAGCGUUGUCCGGAAUCAUUGGGCGUAAAGAGCUCGUAGGCGGCCGGUUGCGUCUGCUGUGAAAUCCCGGGGCUUAACCCCGGGCGUGCAGUGGAUACGGGCUGGCUGGAGGCAGGCAGGGGAGAAUGGAAUUCCCGGUGUAGCGGUGAAAUGCGCAGAUAUCGGGAGGAACACCGGUGGCGAAGGCGGUUCUCUGGGCCUGUGCUGACGCUGAGGAGCGAAAGCGUGGGUAGCAAACAGG
rnacentral:rRNA from 1 species